GACGAACGCUGGCGGCGUGCUUAACACAUGCAAGUCGAACGGAAAGGCCCUGCUUGCAGGGUGCUCGAGUGGCGAACGGGUGAGUAACACGUGGGUGAUCUGCCCCUUAUUUUGGGAUAAGCCUGGGAAACUGGGUCUAAUACUGGAUAGGACCAUGCUGUAGGUGGUGUGGUGGAAAGAUUAGUUUCGGUAAGGGAUGAGCUCGCGGCCUAUCAGCUUGUUGGUGGGGUAAUGGCCUACCAAGGCGUCGACGGGUAGCCGGCCUGAGAGGGUGGACGGCCACAUUGGGACUGAGAUACGGCCCAGACUCCUACGGGAGGCAGCAGUGGGGAAUAUUGCACAAUGGGCGCAAGCCUGAUGCAGCGACGCCGCGUGGGGGAUGACGGCCUUCGGGUUGUAGACUCCUUUCAGCCAUGACGAAGCCCUUGUGGUGACGGUAGUGGUAGAAGAAGCACCGGCUAACUACGUG
rnacentral:rRNA from 1 species